AGCAUACAAGGCAUACGGCUCAGUAACGCGUAGUCAACCUAACCUGUGGACGGGAAUAACCUCGGGAAACUGAGAAUAAUGCCCGAUAGAACAUUAUGCCUGGAAUGGUUUAUGUUCCAAAUGAUUUAUCGCCGUAGGAUGGGACUGCGGCCUAUCAGUUUGUUGGUGAGGUAAUGGCCCACCAAGGCUAUUACAGGUACGGGCUCUGAGAGGAGUAGCCCGGAGAUGGGUACUGAGACACGGACCCAGGCCCUAGGGGGCGCAGCAGGCGAGAAAACUUUGCAAUGUGCGAAAGCACGACAAGGUUAAUCCGAGUGGUUUCUGCUAAAGAAACCUUUUGUCAGUCCUAGAAACACUGAUGAAUAAGGGGUGGGCAAGUUCUGGUGUCAGCCGCCGCGGUAAAACCAGCACCUCAAGUGGUCAGGAUGAUUAUUGGGCCUAAAGCAUCCGUAGCCGGCUCUGUAAGUUUUCGGUUAAAUCUGAACGCUCAACGUACAGGCUGCCGGGAAUACUGCAGAGCUAGGGAGUGGGAGAGGUAGACGGUACUCGGUAGGAAGGGGUAAAAUCCUUUGAUCUAUUGAUGACCACCUGUGGCGAAGGCGGUCUACCAGAACACGUCCGACGGUGAGGGAUGAAAGCUGGGGGAGCAAACCGGAUUAGAUACCCGGGUAGUCCCAGCUGUAAACUAUGCAAACUCAGUGAUGCAUUGGCUUGUGGCCAAUGCAGUGCUGCAGGGAAGCCGUUAAGUUUGCCGCCUGGGAAGUACGUACGCAAGUACGAAACUUAAAGGAAUUGGCGGGGGAGCACCACAAGGGGUGAAGCCUGCGGUUCAAUUGGAUUCAACGCCGGG
rnacentral:rRNA from 1 species